GGAGAGAUGUUCGAGUGGCUUAAGAAGCACGUCUGGAAAGCGUGUGUGCUGUAAUAGGCACCGUGGGUUCAAAUCCCACUCUCUCCG
rnacentral:tRNA from 2 species